AAAGUGUACAAAAUUAAAGUCUGCCAUUUUGAGUUCAGUUCACAAUGAUAAGACUGAGAUGAAGACGCCUCUGCUCCUCUUCAUCAACCUUAAUAACAUUCACAACCAUAAAAACUAAAGAUACAAAAUGGCUCACGACAGGCGGUUGACAGCCCUGACUUUACUGCUGAGUCUCCCCAGUCUGACGUUUCUCUUUCCUCCCUCCAUUGUGUUCACCUCCAUUGUUCUCAUAUUCAGCUCCACUCCUCCUUUCACCUUUUCAUGGGGGCUCAUGGUGGUCUUUUGUACUUUUCACUUUUUCUGCCCAAAGCCCAGAACACCAAACUUCUAAUUGUUUUCCUAUUCCAUUUGUCAAACAUCAUCACCCCGUCAUGUUCCAUAAUCACUUGAUUUACAGUUUUAUUAAUUCUGUUACUGCUGGCCAUUUUGUUUUCUGUUCUUUCAGGUUGAAGAUGAAGGAGGACCGGCCAUGAAGUUCAUCUCAGUGUAUCAGUUUCAUGAGGAGGACUUGGUUGGUGUCCCCACUUUUCUGCAGGUGGCCACAGUGUGCAGCAAAAAGAGAGCCUUGCAUUAUGGUGGACAUCAGGAGGAGACCUGAACAGCAGAACACAAAGCCCAAUCUCCUUCCAUGCUUGCCAGUGUAGCCCCUCUGUGCUGCAUGGACCGCUGAGGUCAAAGCGUCACCUACUGGCCCUGAGAUGACAGGAAUGACAGCAACUGGUGUGAUGGACAGCCGGUGGUCCUGCCCGGAUGGGACGCCCUUUAUGUGAGAAGACCAGAGGAAUAAGUGUACUACCACGAGUACCACCCCCAGGACACGAGAGGACAGCACCCUGGGUUUACAUCGGGACCACGGAUUUGGAGCUCAGAAGAUCAACCCCCUGGGGGUCCGUGGUCAUCACCAGGGGGCACCUGGACAGCUCCAGAGUCUGGGCAUACGGCACUUCUGCCACACCCAGAAGUUCUGCCGGAAGAGGAGCAGGGUUCCUAUGCAGUGCUUCCACCAAACGAGGCCACCUCACUCUAUUCAGAAGCCAGAGUGAAGAGGAGGAGGACAAAGCUUGGGAAGAGAGGACUAGAGGUGGCGAAAGGGAGAGAAGGACCGAAUACUGUGUUAGAGCAC